UUUUCAUUUUUAAAAAAUUGUAGUUAUAAAAGGAUAUGUUGGUCAACUUGCAUAAAACAAUAAAAUACUUAUGUCCUAAAAAGGCUCAUAAGUAUAUAGCAGUGCCCAGGGUUCUAGCCAGGCAUGCUAAGGCGUAGCGGGCUGCUACACCUUCAGACCUGCCUGCAGUGCCUUCAACAUACUGGCUUGGCAUAGAGAGUGUCUCUAUUCAUACCUGUGGAAUGUUUAUAGAGUGUGAUAAUGAGGGAGAAGGUGGAGACUUGUCAAUCAUGAGUCUCUAAUUGCAUACCUAUAGUAUUGUAAUUGGAUUUGUUGCCUAGUAAUAGUAAUGAGAAACCCUUUUUUGUAAUCCAUACCCUACUGUCAGUUUGCAAGUGUGAUUUGUAGAGGUUGAGUUUCAGUUAGUACACUAUGCAGCACAAGCAAACAGUUUACAAAAGGUAUCCUAAACCACUUCUCAAACCAGCGGAAAUUUGUCUUUCACAGACACUACAUGCCAUGCCCACAUAUCAGGCUUAUGUGCUACGCACGUACCAUUACACCUUCCAAAAUCCUGGCUAGAACCCUGGUGCCAAUGUCGCAUCAUGCAGCGACUGUUCGAUGUGAUCAAUUUUUUUUACAUGACCUCAGCUUCCAAGCACACUGUAAAGCACGAAGCUUACCUAUGCGUGUCUUUCUAGAACACCGAACGACUGAUUUUAGUCUUGACAAAAAGGCACAGGUACAUACUCCAAUCGCAACACCACCAAACAGUUGCUGCACAUGUACUGGCAAGCACCUACUUGCCUGGCAAGCAUGCACAAACUACCAUGUGCACGUCACUAAAACAUAAGCAUCCCAACAUUUGUUUAUACAAGUGGCUGAGAAAGAACAGGCAGUCAUAUUUAUCAUCAAACAGUAAAUUAGUUUGGUGCCUAACUGACUUGCGUCGUUUUGUCGCAGGUUCACCCUACUCAAAAGUCAGUAAUCAAGAUUGGAACGUCCUGCAUGACUUCGCCUACUAUUGUGGACAAGCUGCAACAACGAUAUGUUGAGAUUACAUGAGCAAUAACAAUGAAUGCACGCUAUGCCUUUCAGAGUUGUUUACAUGGUCGUUUCCGUCAAGUCGUUGGCAUUUCCAGUAAAACGACUACAUUAACCCUAGCAUAUCCGCCUAGGGUUAAUGAGUAAGAAAAUUCAUUGCAAUACAUUUUACAGUGUAUCUCGCCACUCAAUGAGUCCAGUCCCCUUCUCAUGCUCUUCAUUGGCUCUGACUAACUACAUUCAAGUUACAUAGCAGCCGAGGGUUUGCACUUUAGUGCUUCUUCAUUUCUAAUUUAAUAAUUUUAGAUUGAAGUUGAUUUGAUCCUUUUGUGAGGACUAGUGCGAUGAGUAUUAUGGUGUUUUGUGCUGUCGUUGUAGGGCAAUAUUCCUCGAGGGGAACUUCAUGGUAGACCAAUUGAAUUGUUUAUGUGCUCAGUGUUGAAGCGAGAAGGCUAUGGUGAAGGAUUUCGAUGGCUUGCACAGUACAUGAAUUAGGGAACUUAAUUGACUAUGUAGUGUUUACCUGUUUGUUGUUAGUGGUAGCCAUAAUGUCAUUGUCAAGGUCUAUUUACUGAUGAUGCAUUAGUUCUUAUACAACUAUGCAUGCAAGAACAUGUAUGACGUAACCAUUCAGUUGUUGGAAUGUUUAUUACCAUACAUGUGUCUUGCAGUAUCUAUAGAAUGUAGUCUUGUCACUUUUUACAAGCUUGAAUUUGUUGAUUGUUUUGCUA